GCACCCGUAGCCUAACGGAUGAGGCACUGGCCUCCGAAGCCAGCAAAGCAGGUCCGACUCCUGCCGGGUGUA
rnacentral:tRNA from 1 species